ensembl:snoRNA
GCCCUUUGUGUGUGCUUUUAUUCAACUGGUGGAGAAAAUCAUGAAAGAUAGAUGCAAAAAUAAAUUCUCCUUUGCAACCUAGAACUCAUUGUUCAUUAUGAGUUUUGACACAUAUAAGAAGUAAUAUG